rnacentral:rRNA from 1 species
AGAGUUUGAUCCUGGCUCAGGAUGAACGCUAGCGACAGGCUUAACACAUGCAAGUCGAGGGGCAGCACAGGUAGCAAUACCGGGUGGCGACCGGCGCACGGGUGAGUAACGCGUAUGCAACUUACCUAUCAGAGGGGGAUAACCCGGCGAAAGUCGGACUAAUACCGCAUGAAGCAGGGGCCCCGCAUGGGGAUAUUUGCUAAAGAUUCAUCGCUGAUAGAUAGGCAUGCGUUCCAUUAGGCAGUUGGCGGGGUAACGGCCCACCAAACCGACGAUGGAUAGGGGUUCUGAGAGGAAGGUCCCCCACAUUGGUACUGAGACACGGACCAAACUCCUACGGGAGGCAGCAGUGAGGAAUAUUGGUCAAUGGGCGUAAGCCUGAACCAGCCAAGUCGCGUGAGGGAUGAAGGUUCUAUGGAUCGUAAACCUCUUUUAUAAGGGAAUAAAGUGCGGGACGUGUCCUGUUUUGUAUGUACCUUAUGAAUAAGGAUCGGCUAACUCCGUGCCAGCAGCCGCGGUAAUACGGAGGAUCCGAGCGUUAUCCGGAUUUAUUGGGUUUAAAGGGUGCGUAGGCGGCCUUUUAAGUCAGCGGUGAAAGUCUGUGGCUCAACCAUAGAAUUGCCGUUGAAACUGGGGGGCUUGAGUAUGUUUGAGGCAGGCGGAAUGCGUGGUGUAGCGGUGAAAUGCUUAGAUAUCACGCAGAACCCCGAUUGCGAAGGCAGCCUGCCAAGCCAUGACUGACGCUGAUGCACGAAAGCGUGGGGAUCAAACAGGAUUAGAUACCCUGGUAGUCCACGCAGUAAACGAUGAUCACUAGCUGUUUGCGAUACAGUGUAAGCGGCACAGCGAAAGCGUUAAGUGAUCCACCUGGGGAGUACGCCGGCAACGGUGAAACUCAAAGGAAUUGACGGGGGCCC